AUGCGCGCAAGCGUGACAGAGUGAGUCAAAGUGCCUGCCAUUAGGUAGGCUUUUGUGGAAUGUAAAAAGUCUACGAAUAAGGACUGGGUAAGACUAGUGCCAGCCGCCGCGGUAAUACUAGCGGUCCAAGUCGCAGCCAUUCUUAUUGGGUCUAAAACAUCCGUAGCUUGCUUGAUAAGUUUUCUGUGAAAUCUCAUAUCUCAAGUAUAAGAAUUGUGGAAAAUACUGUCAAGCUAGAGACCGGGAGACGUAAAGAGUACGUCUAAAGUAGCGGUAAAAUGUGUUGAUCUUAGGCGGACUGACGAUAGCGAAGGCACUUUACGAGAACGGUUCUGACAGUAAGGGAUGAAGGCUAGGGGCGCAAAACGGAUUAGAUACCCGUGUAGUCCUAGCAGUAAACACUGCACACUAAACCUUGUGAUCUCUUCGAGAGAUUGCAGGGCUGCAGGGAAGCCGAAGAGUGUGCUACCUGGGAAGUAUAGUCGCAAGGCUGAAACUUAAAGGAAUUGGCGGGGAGACACUACAACGGGUGACGCGUGCGGUUCAAUUAGAUUAUACACCGUGAACCUCACCGGGAGCGACAGCAGAAUGAAGGUCAGUCUAAAGGGCUUACCUGACACGCUGAGAGGGGUUGCAUGGCCGACGUCAGCCUGUGCUGUGAGGCGAUCUGUUAAAUCAGAUAACAGGCAAGACCCACAUCUUUAUUUA
rnacentral:rRNA from 1 species